GUGGGGAAUCUUGCGCAAUGGGCGAAAGCCUGACGCAGCCAUGCCGCGUGAAUGAUGAAGGUCUUAGGAUUGUAAAAUUCUUUCACCGGGGACGAUAAUGACGGUACCCGGAGAAGAAGCUCCGGCUAACUUCGUGCCAGCAGCCGCGGUAAUACGAAGGGGGCUAGCGUUGCUCGGAAUUACUGGGCGUAAAGGGCGCGUAGGCGGACAGCUUAGUCAGAGGUGAAAGCCCAGGGCUCAACCUUGGAAUUGCCUUUGAUACUGGCUGUCUUGAGUUUGGGAGAGGUGAGUGGAACGCCGAGUGUAGAGGUGAAAUUCGUAGAUAUUCGGAAGAACACCAGUGGCGAAGGCGACUCACUGGCCCAAUACUGACGCUGAGGCGCGAAAGCGUGGGGAGCAAACAGGAUUAGAAACCCCUGUAGUCC
rnacentral:rRNA from 1 species